rnacentral:rRNA from 1 species
GACGAACGCUGGCGGCGUGCUUAACACAUGCAAGUCGAACGGAAAGGCCCUGCUUUUGUGGGGUGCUCGAGUGGCGAACGGGUGAGUAACACGUGAGUAACCUGCCCUUGACUUUGGGAUAACUUCAGGAAACUGGGGCUAAUACCGGAUAGGAGCUCCUGCUGCAUGGUGGGGGUUGGAAAGUUUCGGCGGUUGGGGAUGGACUCGCGGCUUAUCAGCUUGUUGGUGGGGUAGUGGCUUACAAGGCUUUGACGGGUAGCCGGCCUGAGAGGGUGACCGGCCACAUUGGGACUGAGAUACGGCCCAGACUCCUACGGGAGGCAGCAGUGGGGAAUAUUGCACAAUGGGCGGAAGCCUGAUGCAGCAACGCCGCGUGCGGGAUGACGGCCUUCGGGUUGUAAACCGCUUUCGCCUGUGACGAAGCGUGAGUGACGGUAAUGGGUAAAGAAGCACCGGCUAACUACGUG